rnacentral:lncRNA from 1 species
GUGGCCUGGGGCCUUCCUUUCCUGAACCUUACCUUCCAAAGGAAUUUUUGAAAAAUAGCCUGUGUGGUGUAGUAAAAAAUAAAAAGAUGACAGGGUUUAGACAAAAGCUGCAUUCCGUCGCCACCACUUCCCAGCUGGUUACUGGCUGAGCCAUACAAUCCCGGCUGCCAUCUUCUCCCUGGAGUAACUUGCAGAACACUUGUGCAUAUUCAUCAUAUGUAUAUUAUUUGUUGCAUAAAUUAACAUUACAAAGCCAUAUAUGUACUUUUCCCAUUACUAUAAACCCUAAAACUUACACUUAGAUGUUACUGUGCAGGGUAAAACCUCUUUCCAAUAAAGCCACAGAUAUUACACCUAAAAGUAUUUUAGAAGGAUUUUUCAGGAGAGGGGAAGUGUCAUUUUUUUAAAGAUUUAUUUAUUUUUAUUUAGAUGAGUACACUGUAGCUGUUUUCAGACACACACCAGAAGAGUACAUCGGACCCCAUUAUAGACGGUUGUGAGCCACCAUGUGGUUGCUGGGAAUUGAACUCAGGACCUCUGGAAGAGCAGUCAAUGCUCUUAACUGCUGAGCCAUCUCUCCAGUCUGUGUCAUCUUUUUUUAAUCUGACCUAGUCCCCCUCAACUCAGCACUUUCAGGAGUCUGAAUUCCAAGGCAGUCUAUGAGACUGUCAUAGGACAGCGGCCUGGAAAUCUGUGCCCUUGACAUGCCAUCCCAUACCCCCAUUCCAGGUGAUUGUGAUACACAUGUAAGUCUGAGAACCUCUGACUGAGGAUAGAUUAGUAGAAGGACCCUGAUGAGCAUUACUUACCUUGUAUGUCUCUUUACCUUUUGUAUCUGAAAGCACUGUUUUGAUAACAGGAUAACAGGUACCUCUGAAGGCAAAGAGAAAGCAGUGUGGCCAGGACUCACGGAUACUGUCCCAGUAGCUAUUUGUCUGGUCAUUUACUCUAGCUGAAUCCAUAUCUUAGGUUGUCUGCUUUUCAGGCUGGGGAGAGUGAUCACGUGUCUUCCUCAGGAACCAGGCUCUUCACACCUUGCUCGGAGUUCUUGGGACAAGGUUAAACCCAAAGCAGACAGGGACUGCCCUGGCCACAGGCAGUUUGAGAAAGUCAUUUCCUCUAGUCUAUCAACCCCCUUGAGAGCCUGUCUGCACACAGGUGCCAGGUUAUCUCAACCAAUUAAACCAAGUCAUCAAAGAGUAUGGCAAUCUCUAGCUUUGAAAGGACAGUCAAUAAGCAAUUGAGAAACAAAGUCCUAUAGAGUGCCCUUGGCCAACCUUGGUUAACCGUGGAUAAAAAUUCAGGACGGGGACUCUGGGGAUAAGGAGAUGAGGCAUUUAGGGAAAUCCAACAUUGUUAAAACUUUGUCAAGGUGGCCUACCCCAGGCCUUUUUAUUGCCUCCUCUCUAGGACUGAAAUAUUUCUUUCAAACAUAAUGUUUCAUUAGCUAACAUGUGCCAUGGAGAAACAAGUCUUAUAGAGUCCCCUGAACUGCUCUUAAAUUCCUGAUAGCAUUGGGAUUUUCUUCCAUGCCUCUGGAAGGGUGACAGGUCCAUUCUAAACAAUUGGGUGAGAGGGUGGGUGCCCCUCGACUCUGUCCAAGUGUGUGUGACAUCUAAAAAGCUCGGUAAGGAGUUCUCCAGGACAGAGAGCCAAGGCGCAUUGGGGUUAGUUUUGACAGCACCACUCGCUAAGAAGAACGUUGCGCAUAGCUGUUUUAACAGUUUACAUAAAUAUCUUUUAUGUAAAAGAGUAUUGAUAAUGGCUAAUAACUCCCAGAUAGCAUAUCUUCCAAUAUUAAAUUUUUUUUGUCUUUU